CCCUUAGAGUUUGAUCCUGGCUCAGGAUGAACGCUGGCGGCGUGCUUAACACAUGCAAGUCGAACGUGAGCCCACUUCGGUGGGUGAAAGUGGCAAACGGGUGAGUAACACGUUGGUGACCUGCCCCCCGGCGGGGGAUAACCCUGGGAAACCAGGGCUAAUACCGCGGAUGUCAAAGCUGUUAGAGGGCUUAGACUAAACCUACGGGGCCGGGGGAGGGGCCUGCGGGCUAUCAGCUAGUUGGUGGGGUAAAGGCCUACCAAGGCGCAGACGGCUAGGGGGCGUGAGAGCGCGACCCCCCACAAGGGAACUGAGACACGGUCCCUACUCCUACGGGAGGCAGCAGUGAGGAAUAUUGCCCAAUGGAGGAAACUCUGAGGCAGCAACGCCGUGUGAACGAUGACGGCCCUCGGGUUGUAAAGUUCUUUUCUCAGGGAAGAUGAUGACGGUACCUGAGGAAUAAGUCCCGGCUAACUACGUGCCAGCAGCCGCGGUAAAACGUAGGGGACAAGCGUUAUCCGGAUUUACUGGGCGUAAAGCGCCCGUAGGCGGCUAAAAAAGUUGGACGUGAAAGCUCCCGGCUUAACUGGGAGAGGCCGUUCAAAACUGUUUAGCUAGAGUGAGGCAGAGGAGCGCGGAAUUCCCGGUGUAGUGGUGGAAUGCGUAGAUAUCGGGAGGAACACCAGUGGCGAAAGCGGCGCUCUGGGCCUAAACUGACGCUGAGGGGCGAAAGCGUGGGGAGCGAACGGGAUUAGAUACCCCGGUAGUCCACGCCGUAAACGUG
rnacentral:rRNA from 1 species